rnacentral:lncRNA from 7 species
UACGCUUCUAUAAAACAUUUAGAUAAAUAAUUUUAUUUAUUUUUUAAAUUAAAAUAUUUAAAACUAUUUAUGUUAAUAUUAUAAAAUACAAAUAUACACUAGAGCCGUCCAAACAUCUCCUAACCCGAACCGUGCGGCCAGGAGUCCAGAACCUUCCAUCCACUGGCGCCAAAAUAUCCUGGGUAGCCUCGCCGUGAAUGGCCGGCGCCACUGGAGGGCAGAACCGUCACCGCUGUGUCGUGUCGCCAUCGCCAGCGGCCAGCCCGAUCUACCCGUGCACCCAGGCACGGCGGAAAUAGAAAAUAUCUCCGCCGCGCGCGAGCGCCACGGCACCCCGCAUCCGCCGAGCCGAGCCUGGUCUCGGAAUGCUCCGCCACCGCUUUCGCUUUUGCCGGCUCGCCGUCGCUGUCGAUGUGGCGGCGGAGAUGACGCGAUAGCUGAGCCCAGCCCCCGCUUUGCGUCGUGGAUCACAGGGGCGUUUGG